rnacentral:rRNA from 1 species
CUACGGGAGGCUGCAGUGAGGAAUAUUGCACAAUGGGGGGAACCCUGAUGCAGUAACGCCGCGUGGAGGAUGACGCAUUUCGGUGUGUAAACUCCUUUUAUAUGUCAAGAAAAUGACGGUAGCAUAUGGAUAAGCACCGGCUAACUCCGUGCCAGCAGCCGCGGUAAUACGGAGGGUGCAAGCGUUACUCGGAAUCCCUGGGCGUAAAGGACGCGUAGGCGGGUUGGAAAGUCAGGUGUGAAAUCCUACAGCUUAACUGUAGAACUGCACUUGAAACUUCUAAUCUAGAGUAUGGGAGGGGGAGAUGGAAUUAGUGGUGUAGGGGUAAAAUCCGUAGAUAUCACUAGGAAUACCUAAAGCGAAGGCGAUCUCCUGGAACAUUACUGACGCUAAGGCGUGAAAGCGUGGGGAGCAAACAGGAUUAGAUACCCUAGUAGUC